rnacentral:rRNA from 1 species
UGGGAUUAAGAGCUUGCUCUUAUGAAGUUAGCGGCGGACGGGUGAGUAACACGUGGGUAACCUGCCCAUAAGACUGGGAUAACUCCGGGAAACCGGGGCUAAUACCGGAUAACAUUUUGAACCGCAUGGUUCGAAAUUGAAAGGCGGCUUCGGCUGUCACUUAUGGAUGGACCCGCGUCGCAUUAGCUAGUUGGUGAGGUAACGGCUCACCAAGGCAACGAUGCGUAGCCGACCUGAGAGGGUGAUCGGCCACACUGGGACUGAGACACGGCCCAGACUCCUACGGGAGGCAGCAGUAGGGAAUCUUCCGCAAUGGACGAAAGUCUGACGGAGCAACGCCGCGUGAGUGAUGAAGGCUUUCGGGUCGUAAAACUCUGUUGUUAGGGAAGAACAAGUGCUAGUUGAAUAAGCUGGCACCUUGACGGUACCUAACCAGAAAGCCACGGCUAACUACGUGCCAGCAGCCGCGGUAAUACGUAGGUGGCAAGCGUUAUCCGGAAUUAUUGGGCGUAAAGCGCGCGCAGGUGGUUUCUUAAGUCUGAUGUGAAA